UACGUAGGGUGCAAGCGUUAAUCGGAAUUACUGGGCGUAAAGCGUGCGCAGGCGGUUCUAUAAGACAGAUGUGAAAUCCCCGGGCUCAACCUGGGAACUGCAUUUGUGACUGUAGAGCUGGAGUACGGCAGAGGGGGAUGGAAUUCCGCGUGUAGCAGUGAAAUGCGUAGAUAUGCGGAGGAACACCGAUGGCGAAGGCAAUCCCCUGGGCCUGUACUAACGCUCAUGCACGAAAGCGUGGGGAGCAAACAGG
rnacentral:rRNA from 1 species